rnacentral:lncRNA from 1 species
GCCACCUGUAGCUGAAGAGUGCCUUAACGCCGAGGCCCACGGCUCCAUGCGAGAGAUGCCUGUUCCUUCUCUGAUAAAUUUGGCAGCUUCACGUACCCUAAAAGAAAGUGGAUGAUCAGCUCACUAGCCACAUCAAAGGUGCCAAUUCUCUAAAGGGUAGACUCUGUGCAGCUUUGAAGCCUGGAAGACAAUACCUACCAACAUGUCAAAGCCACAGUGGAGCAUUUCUGCUAUGAUGAAGAUUAAAUGGAAGAAUAACAGUUCCAGGAUAACAUUGAUUCCUGACAACAGCGUGAGAUUUCAACAGAACUUGUUUGGAACAAAUACUCACUUAAAACUUCAGCAGAAGAAAAAUUACUUAGUCCUUAGGCCAACAAAUUUAACUGCAGUGUCAUAUGUUUC